rnacentral:rRNA from 1 species
UGGGGAAUCUUGCGCAAUGGGCGAAAGCCUGACGCAGCGACGCCGCGUGGGGGAUGAAGCAUUUCGGUGUGUAAACCCCUUUCGACUGGGACGAAUGCCUCGCAAGAGGAGUGACGGUACCAGUAGAAGAAGCCCCGGCUAACUACGUGCCAGCAGCCGCGGUAAGACGUAGGGGGCCAGCGUUGUUCGGAAUUACUGGGUGUAAAGGGUUCGUAGGCGGUGUGGCAAGUUGGGAGUGAAAUCUCUGGGCUUAACCCAGAGGCUGCUUCCAAAACUGCUGUGCUUGAGUGUGGGAGAGGCGCGUGGAAUUGCAGGUGUAGCGGUGAAAUGCGUAGAUAUCUGCAGGAACACCCGUGGCGAAAGCGGCGCGCUGGACCACAACUGACGCUGAGGAACGAAAGCUAGGGGAGCAAACAGGAUUAGAUACCCUGGUAGUCCUAGCCCUAAACGAUCAGGACUUGAGGUGCCACCCGUUCGGGUGUCGUCCCGGAGCUAACGCGUUAAGUCCUGCACCUGGGGAGUACGGUCGCAAGACUG